GCCUACCCCAUUGUUGACUGAGGAAAAAACUAUUUUAUUUCUACUGGAAAUUAACAUAAAGGAGUACCUGUCUACAGCCAACCUUCUUUAUCUCUUUUCUGAAUAAUGAAUCCAUUUGAGAAUCUGUUGAAAUUAUGAGUCCUCUCUUCAUACUUGGGUAAGUAUACAACCCAACCUUACAUACACUUUUAGGGGUAUAGACUUUCCUUAAAGGUACAGGAAUCCUAGAUUAGUAAUGCUUUGCGUGUGUGUGUGUGGGGGGGGAGUGAUGAGGGACUGCAAGGGUAAGAAUUAAUGAUAUUGUUCAGCUGCAGACAUGGAGCUAGAUCUGAUACAGAAACAGCAGCAGACAGGUGUUGCACAUCUUCGCACAGAACAUUUCUUGAUGGUGUGGGAGUUUCUUUAAUUAAAAUACGAUGAGAACAGCUGGCCACCAGCUAGAACUGGCAACACAACAAGAAUGUCAAUAAAUGCAAUCACAGACGAACACUUCCAGGCGCAGCUGUUUCUAAUGGAGACUCGGAGUCUGUAGCCCUACAGACAAGAGCUUCAUCUUUUCCAUUUCACUCACACUCUCUGUAGCAUCUUUAAUGUUGAAAAUAAACUGAGAACUUCCCUAGAAUUGUUAAAAAUACCACCAAGGGCAUUCGGGCUUUAUAAAACCUUAGAAAAGUAGUUAAUUCCAAACAACUCACCACAUGUCUUGUUGUGAGUCACUGAGAAAACAAAAAAACAACACCCUUCCCCCCCCCCUUAAAAAAAUGAGUUCAGGACUCAUGACUUGUUUGUCUCUUUCAACUGGUAAACCACAGUCCCACGGGCAGCAGGAGAGGACUUGAUUCCAGGGUGCAAUGCCCAGAGUGAAGGGCAGGGGGCACUGGCGAGCCAGUAAUGGCAGCUCCCCAGGAGAACAAUUACAGUGCAUCCCAGGAUGGGGUCCAGAGUGAUCCCUGGGUAAGUCACAACACAAGGCUACUAGUUCCUUUCCCCAGUUUUGGUAGUUCCUUCCCCCCCCUCCUCAGUUUCCUUAGCUUUAAAAUGGAGUUAAUGUGAGAGUGAAGUGAGAGACUUUAUAGCGUUUCAAAAAUCUGUAAAUCAUUAAUGGAAGGUGUUGUAAUUUUCCACUUAAUUGGAAAAUGAUGAUAAGUAAAAUAAAUUCCCCUGCUGCCUUUUCCAGUUACCUCUUUUGACCUCAGCAGAAACUCUAAAAAUAAGGUAACUACCACAAAGUCUUUUCACUUCUCAAAAUGGACCUGAGUUAAUUUUGGUCUAUUGUGCUGACGAAAAAGAAAGAAACUAGCAAUUUAUCUGGAAGGAAAGGGAAGAGAAUCAAAUUUUCAAAUACCCACUAUGUGCCAGGUAUUUUCCCAAGUAUUUUAUUAUAUUUCAUAUUAUAGAAUCCAUAAAACAAAAAGAAGAAAAUAUUAUGUUUUACAUUUUAUGGAUAGGAAGAGAGAUUAGGUGGCUUCCUACUACACAGCUGGGUUAUCGAAGCCAGGAUCGAAGUCCAAGUCUGUCCAACUCAAAAGCACAAGCACUUCCUACCAAACCAUAUUUUGUUUUACUCUAAGCAUUUGUUGGGAAAUAGGCCUAAAGUGAUAAAAACAGUAAAUAGAAUGGACCAAUUUAGUUAUCCAUUCAACUUCCUUAAAUAGCAAUGGUAUACAGCACUUGCUUUCAAAGAGCACAAGACCAAAGCUUCUUACAUCUGUCUGUAUUUACCAGAAGGGCUCAAUAAAGAAUUAUAGCAGCAACUUCCAAGUAUGUUUUAAAAUUUUUCAAUUAACAAGAAUCUCUUAUUUCAUAAAUCCUGUCAAUAUGUUAACAUAGGAUUAUUCAAGCCCCUGAUUAUCAAAUACCCUGAGAUAAUCACACCACCAAAUCUCAAGUCACAUCUAGAUUUUCACUGGGGGGAGUUCAUACACCCCAGUGGUAAAAAGAGAGAGAGAGAGAGAGAGAGAGAGAGAGAGAGAGAGAGAGAGACAUAAUUGUAUUAGAUGGGCUGGUAAGGACUACUGAAAUUUCAGAGUUGUUGGGUUCACAGGAGCCUGGAGAGUCUUGGAUAAUGACAUUCAGGUUCAAUAAGAUGAGAUUCACAUAUCCUUGAAUUUUGAAGGGCUGUGUUGUGACAAUGCCCCUCUGUCAUGUGGGUAGAUCUAUAUUUUUUAAAAAUACUUAUUUUGGGUGGUGCUGACUAGACGCCAAUCACCAUUGCCUACACAUUUUGGACUUUGUUUCGGAAAGAAUCCAAAUAUUUGUGAGAAGAAACAAACUCUUAAGGUCAAAAUGUAUCCUCAAAGACUGAAGAAUAAGGUACAAUGACAAAGCAAGCCCAGGAACUCUCACUGGAGAAAUCUGCCAGCAGAGGGCAAUGUUAGUUUUCACACUUGCCCUGAACCUCUACUCAGCUGAAAUCAUUGAGUACAAAAAGAUGGGUAGAAACCUUAGGCUAUUCAGUAGAGAUCUUAGGCUAUAAAAUUUUUCUAUCACAGGCAAAUAAGAGUAGAAAAGUGAUAAGGCACAGUGUUGAUUAAUAAAAUUCUAGCACCUCUGAUAAAAAUUAAUUAAGCUUAUUUAUUUUUAAUACCAUUAAAACUCUAGAUAUUAACUGAUUAUAGUGCAGCUAUAGGAUUACCAUAUCUUUAUGGCAUUUCCUUAUUGUCUGACAUAGGAGUUUCUCAACGAUUAUUCAUUGAAUAACUUAUGAGUAAAUAAAUGCUGAUCAAAUAUAGGCAUAUGUAGGAUUGAGGUGGAGGCCCAGAGUAGAAUGAGACCUUCUUACAUUUCUCUUUCUUGUAGAAUGCAGUUAUUUCUGAGCAUGUUUCUCUGAAUACUUCUCAUGGUAUUUAGGAAAGUAAUUUCUGGUCUUUCCACCAAUUUAGGGCAACCUUAAAUCAGGAAGUUUAAUUUCUGUAGUUUUGCAUGAAUAGAAAACAAGUGCUAUUACCUAGUGUGACAUUGAAUCCCAAGGUUUACUUGACAUUGGUAAAGAUGUUUGGCUAGAGGGGAUUCGUUAAAAGUAAGGCUAGGAAAAUUAAAAUAUUAUUUAUCAAUUAUUGCUUGAAUUAAAUUAGUCACUUUAUAGAACUAAAGUCAGAAAAAAAAUCUAGUUUUUUUAAGGCUAAAUUAAAGAACUGUAAUGUACAAAUAAUGAAUCAAUAUGCAUCUUCUGGGUAUCUUGUUUUGUCAAUUUUGGUGUAGAAUUAUAUUAUUAUUUUGUUAUAUAAAAUGAUAGCAAUGUUAAUAGUUUGAAUUAGUUGGCAUAAUGUCUAUUUUUUAACAUCUGUUAAAUAUGUUUCUAAUUUUAUACUCUCAGUUUCAGCAUGUAGCUAAAUAUUUAGCAUUAAGGAAUGCCCUUUGGUGAGGAUUGAAUGAGUCUUGAUGCUUCUAAUAGUUCAUUGUACAUUUGGUUUUAGAAAACUGGCCUUAAGCAUAAACCACAGGAGCAAUAAGAAGACAACUUUUUCUAUGCACUCUCAAUAUUUAGUUGUUUUGUUUUUGUUUGGUUUGGGUCUGCUUAUAAGUUGCAGGAAAAUAAAUUUAUGGAGAUGCUUUAAAUAUAGAACAGUGCAUCUACUGAAAUUUGAGGGAUUAGCUUCAUUGCAAAUGGAAGGAUUUGGCUGAAAUUUACCAUCAACUCUCAAUAAAGCUUUCUCCUAGGGUCAUUCAUAGUAGAACUUGUUUUGCCUCCACUCAGGUUCCUUGUCCCUUGGCUAACACAAGUCAAGUUCCAUAAGAAAAUAAUGCACCUGAUCUUCUGCUGAUAUGAUGUUCUGUUUAAGCAAUUUUUCCAGGGAAGGUUUGGGUUUAUGCUGAUCUGAGCACACUCUUACCCCACUUUGAUUUACAGCUGCAAGGCAAGAAGCCCGCUUUGGGGCUGGAGUUUGUCAGCAAAUAUAGUCAAAUAAACUGAUCCAUGUGCUAAUGACUGGUCUUAUUACCAAUCUCUUCUGAUUGAGUGAAGCAGUUGCAAUUUAUUAUAGUCUUUUAAAAAUGCAUAACCAUGACUCUUUCAGAAACCUAAACUAUCCUUUCCUAGUCUUGUUUUCAAGGUGAUGGUUUCCCUAAGGCAAUGACCAGUGAUAGUGUUGUUUUAGGACACAUUUGCAGUGUUUAUUUAUGUUAUACAGUAUACAGGUCUUCAAUUUGAGUUCCAUUAGGUCAAACAGGAUUUCUUUCAGAUGUUCUGUCUUCUAAGGAUAAGACUUUAUUCUACAUAUAAAAUAUGUUUAUCAAUUACAGUGAAUUAUUUCAUUUUUGUAACUGUAUGGAUGACAAUUGACUAAUUAAAAUCUUUUGCAUUUCUUGAUGUUAUAAUAUUUGUGUCUCAUUUAAAUGUUUUAGGGCUGUUUUGUGAUAUAUUUUAUGCACAAACUUUAAAUUUUACAAUAGUUCUAUAUUUAUAGAAAAGUUGUAAGGAUAAAAAGUCCACAUAUACUCUAUGCCCAGUUUCCCAUAUAACUAACAUCUUACUAAUGUGGUGUAUUUGUUACAACUAGUGAUAAAUAAUUGAUUACAUUCCGUACUUGAUUUACUUCUACAGUUUUUCUCUUUUCCAUUCCACUAUUCCAUUCUAGAAUACCACAUGACAUACAAGGCUCCUCUAGGCUAUGACAAGAAGUCUUGGGAGUACUCUUGCACGGAAGACCUGAGAUGCUGUUCUCAUCACAUUACAUCAGCAACACAUGCUAUCAACAAGACUUGUCAUUGUUAGUAUUGACCUUGAUCAUUUGACAAAGGUAGUGUUGGCCAGAUUUUUCUGUAAGAUUAUUCUUCCCACUUCUUUACUGUAUUCUUUGGGAGCAAGUCCCUAUGUGCAGUCCACAUUUAAGAGGUAAGGGUUUAUCCUCCAUCUCUCUGAGCAGGAAGUUUCUGCAUGUAUUGUUUGGAGUUUUUUCAUAUGGGAGAUUUGUCUUCUUCAUUUGCUUAUUUAUUCAUUUAUAUAUUACAUCCUUAUGUAAAUAUAUAUUUAUACUUUUGAGUUCUAAUUUAAUGCUGUUAAAUAUACUCAUUUAUUUAUUUUUUGCUCAAAUUGUUCCAGGUUUGGUCACUAGGAGUUCUAUUAACUGUCCCUUUGACAUAUCCCAAUAUUAUUUCUGUGGGGGGUUGUCUUUUUUUUAAUUUCUUGCAUUUUCUUCGUUUCUUAUCUGUAAAAUACUCCAGGCUCAUGUUGUUUAUUUCCUGUCCCUCCUUAGAAUCAACCAUUUCUGCAAGGAACCUGACUCCUUUUAUUGGAAAUAAAAUCUUGGCAAUAGAAACCAUGAUUUGGACAGCAAGUGUGUUCAUUACUUUUGGAGUGGCAUUACUUCUAGGCCAUCUCAGCUGACAGAGCAAGGAGAUACAUGAGAAUACUAAUCUGUAUAUGUACCCAUGUCUGUAUUUACCCAUAGGAAGUCAAACAUGAACUCAUACUGUCAUUCAAAUUCUAAUCCACAGGAUCACCUCAGCCUUCAGGAGACUACCUUUUAAUGAAUGAAAGAAAAAAAAAAGAAAAGAAAAGAAAGAAAGAAAGAAAGAAAGAUCUAGAUUUUUCUUGUAUAAAUUGAAAAUAAAAAGGAAGGAAAGGAAGAAGAUUGGUUUUCAUAAUAUAUUCCUUUAUUUCUUCAGAGGAGUUAUCCACCAUCUUUUGAUUAAUGUGAUUCAAGCAGGACUGGGUUCUUAAAAAAAAAAAAGAAAGAAAGGUAAAGACAAUGGGCAUGAAUCCAGUUUGUUAUUAUCAGAGCCAACACCUUUCUCCUUUCAUUAAUUGGUAUAAAAAAAAAGUAUGGGGAAACUUGUGAACAGCUGCAGUUCUUCUGAAAAGAGAGCAAGAACAGUCUUAAAUUAUAUUAGAAGAAAUAGGGAAACUAUUCUGAUAAAGAGUUACUGAAUGUUGGAAUGUAAGAUAAGAAGUUAGAAUUUCUUCUUCUGUUUUUUAAAAUUAGGCCAGAUUCCUAGCUGUCUAGGAGAGUAGGUGUUUUUCUGAUUUUUAAAGCUCUUUUCCUCCCUGAUUUCUGGGAUUUUCUGCACACAUAUUUAGAUCCUUAGCGCAGGGAAAUUCCUAUGUUGAAGACACAGGAAGGUGAUAAGAAAAAUAGAGGGGGGGGGGAACAAGAAUAAAAAUGGGGAAAAAAGGUUUUAUCCUUUUUAAAAACUCCAUGUUUAGAAUAAAAGUGAAAACAGAAAAUGGAUUGUAUUUACCACCUUUUCAUAUUUCUUAAUCAGCAUCAAGUGCAAAUAUUGCAAUAUUGAUUUGCCCCUUUAAUAGCUCCUAAUGGUUAACAGAAACUGAUCAUAGGCAAUAAUAUAUAUUGCCUCCUAACAAACAGAUAAAUGCUUAGAUAUUUACAGUGUAAUACUGUUCCUUUGGUUAUUUUUUGUUUUUGUUUUUUUUAAAGAGGAUUUAUUUUAUUUUAUUUUUAACUACAGUAUUCUAAAUUGCCCUCACUUCUGUGGCAUUUUGAUUAUGUACCUGGAGCUAAGUAAUGAUGUUUUACCUAAACAAGAUGACUUAAAAAAUUAUUUGGGACUUAUAAUGAUAUGCUCUACAAAAUACAUUUUUUUCUACAAAUGUCAUGUGUAGGCCAAUAACAAAAUUAUUUUGCAUGAUGGCAAUGGAUUGUAUUGGAAAGAUCCGGUUUUACUACUGACCUUCCACAUACCACUGAUACAAUCUUGGGCAAAUUGCUUGUCAUUUUGAGUCUCAUUUGCUCAUCUUUGAAAUGGUUAUAGAAAUAUUUAUCUUGUAUAUUUAUUUAUUUAAAUAUUUAUGGUUGGUGUAAAUAUCAAAUGGGCCUGUGGACAUAUUAUACGUAAGUGCUAAGAGUGUGUUAUAAAGUAUUCAGAUGGCAAUUAUUAUUAUCACCAUUAUUGCUAAUCAUAAUGAAUUCAUUAAGGAAGCAUUAUUGAAUAAUGGAGAAUGAUAUUGGCCAAAUUAUAUUGUUAUAUUGUGUGCAUGUAUGAAUAUAUAAUAAGAAAUCUCACCAUUAUGUACAACUAUAAUGAGCCAUAAAU
rnacentral:lncRNA from 1 species